UCACGUAUGGAGGGUUGCCUAGGCAACCACAACAACUUCCAGAGUGAUGAGAAUUGCAUGUCUUAUUGUGGCCUGAGACAAAGCCGGUCUACAGCAGAGGACUGUCGCCUACCCAGUGAGACUGGCCCAUGUCGAGGCAAACUUCUUCGCUGGUUCUAACGACCCUGACACCAGAAACUGCAGGACCUUUAGAUAUGGUGGUUGCCAGGGAAACCGCAACAAUUUUGCCACUGAUCAAGAGUGCACGGCAACAUGCCUGAACGAGGUUAUACCUGUGACUGCCAGGCCGCCAGUCACGCGUGCUCCAACCCCUGCAGCAAAAGAGGAGGACGUGUGCACGUUGCCCCUGGUUCAACCAUGUGACAAUGAAGCUCGUGUCGCCGACUGGGGAACAUUCUACUACUACAAUGUGGCCAGCGGGGAAUGUGUAGAGGUCCCUGGAGGAACGUUAACAACAACCGCAAUAAUUUCUACACCCGUGACCAGUGCGAGGCAUUCUGCAACAGGGAUAAGGUCUGUCAGCCACUGACGUACAACUCAGAGGUGCGAUGCUUGCCUACAUGGAGCGCUGGACGUACACCCCCAGCACAGACGCCUGUGAACAGUUUUUGUACGGUGGGUGUGGUGGUAGCGCCAACAGAUUCGACACUCAAGUGGCAUGUGAGAGGAAAUGCAGGCGACAGCUGGUAACCAGGCCU